rnacentral:rRNA from 1 species
UACGGGGGGGGCAAGCGUUGUUCGGAUUUACUGGGCGUAAAGGGCGCGUAGGCGGCCAGCGCAAGUCAGUUGUGAAAUCUCCGGGCUUAACUCGGAACGGUCAACUGAUACUGCGCGGCUAGAGUGCAGAAGGGGCAACUGGAAUUCUCGGUGUAGCGGUGAAAUGCGUAGAUAUCGAGAGGAACACCUGCGGCGAAGGCGGGUUGCUGGGCUGACACUGACGCUGAUGCGCGAAAGCCAGGGGAGCGAACGGG